UAUUCUUUUUCCUUGCCUGUCUUAUUCAAAUUGCCAGUUUGACCAAUGUAGAAACACUGACUUAUCCAGUUGUUUCAGUUCUGUGAAGCUUCCCUAUUGCAAAGCUCUUUACAGAAAAGUUUCAAUGUGUUGAAAUAAGCGAUAAACCUUGGAGCCAGUUUCAUGUUUAAAUUCAGAAUAUGGCACUUCCUAGCAGCAGAGCUUUGGGAAAGUGACGUCACAGAGUAUUAGUUUCCUCCUCUGGCAAAUGGACAACAGUACCUAAUUUCUAGAGCAAUUACAAUGAUAGAUUGAGGUAACGCUCAUAACUGUUAGUACAGCACCUGGUGCUUAGUAGAUGCCCAGUGAAUGUAAGCUCAUGGUAUCAUUCCCUCCCUUUGCUGGACCGUGGACAAUGGCAAAGGUGGUGGGGAGCAUUUGAACCAACUCCCCAUAUAUUCCUUGGGUAUAUACUACAGGUGUAACAUUAAACCCAGUCCUCUUAGAAUACGGAGACCCAUCUUAAGGAUGAUUCUUUAGGAAAACUUAAAAGAGUGAGCAGAUUUAAACUGGUAUUUGAAAGAUGAUGAGCUUUGGUUUCAGAGGGCAAAAGGAAGUCAUUCCGCUUAUACAGUGCAUCCUGGGUGGACUCACUGGUUCUCAAUAUCCAUUCAUUCUUUCUUCCUUUUACUAAUGCACCUCCUACUACAUCCCUGUCCCUCAGUUUAGCUCAGAUGUGGCUACCUGCUACUUCUAUGACCUUUUUUUUUUCUUUGCCUCCAGGAACGACCACAUGAAUAAGUUCUGAACAAUAGGAUGUGACAAGAAGCACUGUUGUGGAUCACUUCUCAAAAUGAAUUUACUUGUUCUGUGUGUCUUCUUCCCCUCUCUUGAGGAUUGGCAUGGGAGUAUGAUGGGGAAGAGUCAUCUUUGCUCAUAAAGACAAUGGGGGAUGAUGAAGCAAUAGAAAGAAGAAACUGGGUUCCUGGUGACUUUGUUGAGCACAGCCACCCUUCCCAUCCAGACAGCCCAACAGCUCCACUCCUCCUUCCAGUUAAGCCACUGCUGUUUGAUCUCCAUUAUUACAACUAAACCAGUAUCUUCACUAAUCAUAUCCUGAGGAUGUAGGUGCAGGUGAAAAUGAGCCUAACACAUGUGGGGACAGAAAAGGAAUGGGUCUGAGUGGAAAAAAGGGAGGGUAUUUGAGAGUAAUAGGUAAAGGCAAACAGAGCACAGACUUACUUCUAGAUUCUUGAUGGGAGGAAGGCUAGGGAUUCUGAGAAGAGAGCAAAGCAAAUAAAGCCUUCCUACCCACAUGCCACCAAAAAAGCAUGGAAUAAAAUGAAAGAUAAUCCAUGGAAAAAAGCCAAGAAGACACAUUCCUCUCAUUCCAAUUCAACUCAGCAUCAGCUCAACUCAUAGGAGGAGGGCUCUAAGAACAAGGUCCAACACCAUCCUCACUAAGGGGUGGUUCUGUUUCUGUUAAUUGACCAGCUGCACAGAUGGGAAGUGAGGAUGAACUGAGGCAUCCCAGUCCAUUCUGAAUAGCCCUUUGCAAGCUCUGACUUGCACCGAUCAUAAUCACUUUUCCCUAUUGUUCUAUUUCCACCUUCUAAGGCCACAAAGAGCAAGUAGAAUCCUUGCAUAACUCUUGCUUCAAAUGACAGUCACUCCCAUGUGUGAUGGUGGCUCCCAUGGAGUCUCAUCUUAUAGAGGCAAACAACUCUUUCAUUAAGUCCUCAUAUUUAUACAUUUCUAUUUUUGUCUUUGCAGACAGAAUUCCCACCAAGGCUGUGCAGCCAUGGGCAAACAAGUUUCCUUGCCAUCCCAGCUUCUUUAUCUGAAAAAUGAAGAAGCUUGACUUUUCUAUUUACAAGUCCUCGUGUCAAAUACUUCUGGGAGGCAAGAAUGUAUACGGGGUGUUGGACAAUAGGGAAUGAUGAUAAUCGUGGUGAACUGGAAACUACAUACUUGACCUAAGGACAUUAAUGUUAAAUUUUGAGUUUUGUUUAUUGCCUGCUAGUGUUUGCUUUUUGGUAUUAAAGCUACAUUAGCCAUGUAAGCCACACCUGAAUGCUAGAUAUAGGCAAGUUUAUAAAUUCUGGUCUGAAUGAUCUUAAGGACUUCUCUAGCCCUAAAAUUCCAUUAUUCUUUUAAGGUGUCCCAUUUUACAGAGUGGACUCCAACUAGGCCUAUCUUUUGUGCCAAAGGGAGCAGAUACACCCUUGUGCUGGACAUCCUCCGUUUGCCCUUCCAGAUUGCUUUUCCAUUCUUCUCCACCUUGCUCUGUGCCCUGGAAUCUAAUUGUUAAGGACGCCAUCAAGCUGAGCUCAUUGAAUUCUGAGUUCUAGUUGGAACUGGCCAAUGAGAGUGCUAGCAUGAAACAGGCAGGUGAGAGGAGAGAAAGGUUAGCCCCUCCCUAUUUAUCUGCUGGUUGGCAGUGGCUGGGUUCCUGUAAUAAGGCCACAUCCGCUGUCUGCUGGCCUUACCCUAUGGCUACAUGUCUCAAUGGUUCAGAUAACCAUCCCUUCCUUUCCCUUUCAGGCCAAGGGACAUAACUGGCUGCCCACUGGUCAGCCUCCUGGGGCAGGCACAGAAGGGUGGAGGGAAGACCUCAUUAAAUAAAGACAUCCAGCACACCAAAACAGGCAGAAAGCAGACAUGAUAACGAGAUUGCCACCUAUUUACCUUCUUGUAACCAUAAGAAUGAGGGAAGCUUCAUUCCGACGGAGUUCGACCAAAAUAGAGAAGAAGUUGUAAGGGUCUAGAAUUCAGUGUAGAAGUGUAUGCAGGAGACACCAAUCUGGAUAUUAGCACAUAAACAGUAUUUAAAACUACAAGACUGUAUGGGGUUACCAAAAAAGUGAGAAAAGCAGAAUCCUGGACCACACCGCAGUUCAGAGUUUGGAAAAAUGAGGAAGAGCCAGUAAAGGAAAACUGAGGAUUGGUCAACGAGGUAGAAAGAAAAACCUCUGAUGGAAUUGCAACAUGGGCAGAAACCAGAGGUAGGAAGGCAGGCAACCCUUGCAUAAAAAUAUCCACUCACCAACUGUUCACCAACUGUUCUUCCUCUUGCUGGCAUACCUUAUGCAGCAUCCUCAGAUGCCAGAGCGCGUUUCUGCUGCAGCCUCCACGAUGCCUGGGCUGAUAGCAAUCAGGUCCUGCUAUGCUUCUUUCAGGAAGAGCUGACCCCUGGAAUCUGGGCUAGACUUGCACUUGUUUUGGCCAUUGGAAUAUCAAGCUGACUUUUUGUGGGCUCUGGAGACUAGGACCUAAAAGGAGGAAUGUUGCCCCCUCAUCAUUAUGUAAAGAAGCUGGCGCAACCUGCUGGAGGAGAAUAUGCCACCUGGGGAAGAACUGAGGCACCCAGCCAACAUCCAGCACCCACCACUAGACAUGAAAACACUGGUCGGUUACUAAUGGAGAAGAAGAAAAAGCAGCAAAGACAACGAGUAUACUUGGGAUGCGAUCGCAUGCCUGGAGCAUCUGGUGGGCAGGAUUCACUCGUCCUUUCCUUUUUGAGAUUGCAAUUAAGUAGAUAAUAUGAGAGAGAACUGACAAUUGGGUUGUCCCUACUGAGCUUGGGGCCAGGUGUGUACUUAGGAACCCAAUCCCACCCAGAAGAGACUCAUCUAUGUUAACACUAAGGAUGCCCUGGAGGAGGUCCUGACCACAUACAUGCGGCCAUUGGUUGAUUUCAGCUUUGCAAGCAGCGUAGUGAGAAAACCAAAAGCUUGUCCUAUCCAGACUGAGCUUGCCAGGGAAGCAGAGGCCUGAGGUUACUUAACGAGAGGCAGGCUGCCAGAGUGGAGACACAGGGCAUGUACAAUCAUACAAACCUGCAUACCAAUUCUGCCCCCCCACUCACUCUGUGGCUGUGUCACCCUGGCAAGUGACUUAACCUCUCUGAUCUUCUUUUCCUCACCUAUAAAAUGGGGAAAAUGAAAUGUAUCUCAGAUUGGGGAUUCGAAGGUUUCAAAUGACCAUUUAGGUAAACUUCCUGGAACAUAGUAUGUGUUCAGGAACCUUGAGUUCCCUCCCCUUGGGAGAAGACCCCUCACACUGAGCUGGGGAGCAGGAUCCUGGUCACUGAGACUUCUUUUCUGCACAAACUUCAUCUUGGCCUCUAAUGAGAUGGAAUCCCCCAGGGCCUGUUGCCUCCUGUUAUUGCAAUUUAAGCACAGCCAGUGCUGACUGGGCUGUUAGACUCCAAAGGUUCCCUGGUAGAAAAUUUGAGGGGUGUGGGAUGGCAAGGGAUUGAGAGAGAGGGGUGGGGACUUCAGAUAGCCAGUAUUCCUUAGCCUUCCAAUUCCUUAACAGCCAAAUUACCCUAGAGCCUCUUUAUGAAGCUAAAGAAAUACAAAUACUAUUUUCAAAUCAGCAGGCAUUCCCAAUGUUGGCUUUUGCUGAGGGUAGCUAAGAGGCAAAGCAUACCUAGAUCCUAGGCCAGACCUCAACAGCCUUAGUUCUGGCUCCUUCUGUUUCCAUAUUUCUCAAGAACCUGGUUUUCUCUGCUGGAAGAAGCAUUUUCAGAGGUCAUCUGAAGUCUACAGCCCUCCCCUCUGCGAGGAGAGCACAGACUUGAAGUCAAGUGGGCCUGGGCUCCAAAUCUUAGUUCUGCCACUUACUAGCUAUGUGGCCUUGGACAAGUUACUUAACUCCCCCAUGCCUCAGUUUCUCUGGAUACCAAAUGGGGAUAAUGAUGCUAAUACCUCAUAGAGUAGGCAUGAGGGUUAUAUGAGUAAAGUGCUGAGAAAGGAGCCUGAUAGGUAAUUACCUGAUCCCCCUCCUCUCGCUAGAGCCCCCACACCCUGGUGAUACUCACCACUAUGCCUUCACUUUAUAAUCAACAGAAACACUUCAACACCCAUCCCAGAAAACACAUGAAAUACUCACAUUACACAAAGAUCAAAUGAGUGGGGAUGAUUAAACCUAUUUUCCUUUUGAUUCAAACAAGUGGAGUGCUCUGUCCUUGGCCACACAGUUUAAAGAAUGAAGCCAGGACUACAUGCCAAACAGCAUGACUCCUAGGGUAAAGUUCUUCCCACCCCAUGAAGAUGCCCUCACCCCUCAAUUUCUCCUGACUGUUUCUUUAAAUAGAAAGGUUUUGAUGGAAACACUAGUGACGUAUAUGAAUUUUGAAGCAGAUAUCCAUUUUUAAUAUAGGAAGGAAGACAUUAAGAUGUCAAACUUGGGGCUGCUAAAUGAACAUCUGUAGCCCAAACAUGGGGCACCAGGGCUGGGAGGCUCAGAGAAGUAAUUGCCACAAAAAAGAUGCACCAGGACAUUGAUUUCUUCUGCCUGUUUGCUUGAUUUCCACUUUGAGCUUACUCAAUUGGCUAUUCCUCUGUUUUGCCACCUCAAGAACAUGACCCCAGCUCAUUUGAAUGAAAAUAUGUUUGCCAUUACCUCAUUAAUUUCUGAGACUUUGCAUUAUUUUUUACACCCACCUCCUUUCUUUUCUUCUCCCUCAAAAUUCAGAGUAUUGGUUGGAAAGAGGUAAAUCAGGCACCAUUUCUCCAUGAUGUGUCAGGACCUGAAUCUGUCAUUUGCGAGCCUGACCUCAUAACUCAGCCAAGCCAAGCUGCAAGGCACCCUGGGAACCCAUCACUGAAAGACUGCAGAGGGAGGAAGGCAAGGGCAGGAAUAGCCAGCUGGUCAAGCAGCAGAGUGUCUCCUCAGCUCCCAGGAAAUGGUGUCUAAGGGUGAUGAUGAACUGGGACUUCAUCUGAGUCCAAAAUAAUGAUGCUGCUGAUGCAACAGCAGAACUUAUUAAACACUUACUACUGCAUAUGCCACUAUGAGGUAGACUUACAGAGAAUAAGUUACUCUCCCAUAAUCACACAGCCAGUAAAUGACAGAAAUGGGAUCCAAUCCAAAUAUGUUUCAUUCUAAAGCCCAUGCUCUUCACCAACAAAGCCCAACUUGAUUUAAUUUAUCCCCAAACAUACCAACAUCCAUUUGUUAGUUCCCUUCCCAAUUUAACUUUAAGCGUCUCACAUACAUACACUGUUUUUAUCCUAACAACAAGUUGGUGAGGAACUGAGCUCAGAGAGGUUAAUCCACCCACUGAAAGGCACCCAGUGUUUAAGAGCAGAGGGAGGGGCCUGACACAGGUCUUUCGGAGCAUGACAUGCAUGUUCUGUCCACAAGGCCUGUUGCUGCCUUUCCCCCAGAGGUCCAGACUGAGGACGGGACAGAGUAGAUAAAGACAGCAGUGUGAGAGGAGGCAGUGGGCAAUAUGGGGAAUCUAGGGGCAGCAGUAUGCUGGUCCCAUAUAAUCAGGCCCGGGGGAGGGGCCCAGACAGAGGGUGGCAGACUCUCUGUACUCCAGCAAGACAAUCCCAGAAGAAAUGCCAGAGAGAUCAAUGAGAAGGCCAGUCAUUUACACUGGGCACACACACAGUGUUUAGGGUACUCAGAUAGGUACCCAGGCCUCACCCCAGGCUGUUUGGACACCAGGAGUCAUAGCACUCUUCCAGGCCACAACUGCUACUUGGGGUGGGAGGAGAGGAUGAGACGUGGCAUUUGUGGAAUAAUGACUGUGGCCAAGCAGUGGGCUCUGUAUGAUGCCAUCGUCAAUUCUCACAGCAAUUCUACAACAUAGGUUUUGUUACUUCUCUCUCACGCUUUACCCUAAAUUUCUCCUGCCUACCACAGUGCUUGGCACACACAAACAGAAUAAUAAUGUGUGGAACUGACUAAUUCAUUUUCCAUUCUGCUGGUCAGGGAGAAAUUAAUAGAGGCAGAGGCUAUUAAUAAAACAUUACAUUACCUCCAAUGAGUGUGGAAUAAUUCUCUAAAAUACUGACAAUCAG
rnacentral:lncRNA from 1 species